AAACUGUACAGGUCACAGAAGCAUGCCAGAGGCUGUAAUCUCACAGGUCACAAAUUAGCUACUCAUGAUCCAGAGUCAAGAGGAGAGGGAAAGCUUCCUACCUUGAAGUUAUCUUAACUGCUUCAGAUGCUGGUCAAAGCUCUCAAACAAUACCCUUUCCAAAUCACAGACUUGCCACCCUGCCCAGAGAUUCCAUUGGCUGGGCUAAGAACUUUAAGUUUCUCAGAAAGAAGCAGUCAUGAGGAUCUCACCUGAGAACCACUGCAGGUGUGGCUGGCAGAAGAAAGGCAUGUUCCGCAUCCAUUUGCCUUUGCAAACUACCUGUGUGAUCUCAGUAACUCAGCAGAAAGGAGAAUUCACAAAACCUGAGGCCCUGCCCUGCCCUGCCCUGCCCUGCCCUGCCCCGCCCUGCCCUUCCCUGUAUACCUGUACACGUGUGUUUUAAAAGGGAAGGUGAGGGAAGACAUGAAUUCCUUGGAGAGUCAUGCCCAUGGGAACAGCACAGAUGGCAUAAAUCAUGCUAAACCUUGACCCACA